GACGAACGCUGGCGGCGUGCUUAACACAUGCAAGUCGUACGGUAAGGCCCUUUCGGGGGUACACGAGUGGCGAACGGGUGAGUAACACGUGAGUAACCUGCCCACAACUUUGGGAUAACGCUAGGAAACUGGUGCUAAUCCUGGAUAUGUUCUCCUGCUGCAUGGUGGGGGUUGGAAAGCUCCGGCGGUUGUGGAUGGACUCGCGGCCUAUCAGCUUGUUGGUGGGGUAGUGGCCUACCAAGGCGGCGACGGGUAGCCGGCCUGAGAGGGUGACCGGCCACAUUGGGACUGAGAUACGGCCCAGACUCCUACGGGAGGCAGCAGUGGGGAAUAUUGCACAAUGGGCGCAAGCCUGAUGCAGCAACGCCGCGUGCGGGAUGACGGCCUUCGGGUUGUAAACCGCUUUCAGCAGGGACGAAGCUUUUUGUGACGGUACCUGCAGAAGAAGCACCGGCUAACUACGUG
rnacentral:rRNA from 1 species